rnacentral:rRNA from 1 species
CCUACGGGCGGCAGCAGUGGGGAAUAUUGCACAAUGGGCGAAAGCCUGAUGCAGCCAUGCCGCGUGCAGGAUGAAGGCCGUCGGGUUGUAAACUGCUUUUGUACGGUACGAACCGGCCUUUUCUAAGAAAGAGGGGUUAUGACGGUACUGUAAGAAUAAGCACCGGCUAAGUACGUGCCAGCAGUCGCGGUAAUACGUAGGGCGCAUGCGUUAAUCGGAAUUACUGGGCGUAAAGCGUGCGCAGGCGGUUAUGUAAGACAGUUUUGAAAUCCCCGGGCUCAAACUGGGAACUGCAUCUGUGACUGCAGAGCUAGAGUACGGUAGAGGGGGAUGGAAUUCCGCGUGUAGCAGUGAAAUGCGUAGAUAUGCGGAGGAACACCGAUGGCGAAGGCAAUCCCCUGGACCUGUACUGACGCUCAUGCACGAAAGCGUGGGGAGCAAACAGGAUUAGAUACCCCUGUAGUC